rnacentral:tRNA from 1 species
GCCUGGGUGGCUCAGUUGGUUAAGCCUCUGACUUGGGCUCAGGGCAUGAUCUUACAGUUCAUGGGUUCAAGUCUCAUAUCAGGCU